CCAGCAGCUGCGGUAAUUCCAGCUCUAAUAGCGUAUAUUAAAGUUGUUGCAGUUAAAAAGCUCGUAGUCGGAAUUCGGGUUCGGGCAGGCUUCUGACCUCUGGGAAGAUGGCAGGCUCGGGUCUUUCUGCCUGAGGAACCCGUGGCACUUAACUGUGCGGCGUGGGGACGCAGGCCGUUUACUUUGAAAAAAUUAGAGUGUUCAAAGCAGGCCUACGCUUGAAUACAUUAGCAUGGAAUAAUGGAAUAGGACUUUGGUGCUAUUUUGUUGGUUUAUGGGACCGAAGUAAUGAUUAACAGGGACAGUUGGGGCCGUUUAUAUUUCGUUGUCAGAGGUGAAAUUCUUGGAUUUACGAAAGAUAAACUUCUGCGAAAGCAUUCGGCAAGGAUGUUUUCAUUGAUCAAGAACGAAAGU
rnacentral:rRNA from 1 species